GCAUCUCUAGGGUGUGCGUAAGCGUCCUGUAAUAUCCCUUGAGCCUUAAAUACUGACUCUGGGAGUGGAUCCGGUGUGACUGUGUGCGUUACCGCUUUGACGGGAGGCCUGACGUGGCAUCAUCUGCUCCCCCCUGAACUUACCGGUUCAAGGUCAACAGUAUUUGCUACGGCACUCCGGAGAUGUC
rnacentral:other from 1 species